GCCAGGUGUGGUGGCGCAUGCUUGUAGGCCCAGCUAAUCUGGAGACUGAGGCAGGAGAAUCACUUUAGCCUGGGAGGUCCAAGCUGCAGUGAGCUAGGAUCACACCACUGCAGUCCAGCUUGGGUGACAGAGAAAGACCCNNNNNNNNNNGGGUCUUUCUCUGUCACCCAAGCUGGACUGCAGUGGUGUGAUCCUAGCUCACUGCAGCUUGGACCUCCCAGGCUAAAGUGAUUCUCCUGCCUCAG
rnacentral:SRP_RNA from 1 species